rnacentral:rRNA from 1 species
UGCCAGUGAUAAACUGGAGGAAGGUGGGGAUGACGUCAAGUCAUCAUGGCCCUUACGAGUAGGGCUACACACGUGCUACAAUGGCGCAUACAAAGAGAAGCGACCUCGCGAGAGCAAGCGGACCUCAUAAAGUGCGUCGUAGUCCGGAUUGGAGUCUGCAACUCGACUCCAUGAAGUCGGAAUCGCUAGUAAUCGUAGAUCAGAAUGCUACGGUGAAUACGUUCCCGGGCCUUGUACACACCGCCCGUCACACCAUGGGAGUGGGUUGCAAAAGAAGUAGGUAGCUUAACCUUCGGGAGGGCGCUUACCACUUUGUGAUUCAUGACUGGGGUGAAGUCGUAACAAGGUAACCGUAGGGGAACCUGCGGUUGGAUCA